rnacentral:snoRNA from 1 species
GUUUCAUGAUGAAAACCCUUUUCAAUCAGUUCUGCUGCUGAACUCCUUGAUGAUAUCCAAAAUACCAAUACGUUUCUGAUGA